rnacentral:rRNA from 1 species
UCGCUCCUACCGAUUGAAUGAUCCGGCGAAAUCAGUGGACCGUGAUACGAUUUGGGUUUCUGAAUCGUGUUUUCGGGAAAUUGAUUAAAACUUAUCAUUUAGAGGAAGGAG